UACAGAGGGGGCAAGCGUUGUUCAGAAUUACUGGGCGUAAAGGGUGCGUAGGCGGGUCUUUAAGUCAGGGGUGAAAUCCUGGAGCUCAACUCCAGAACUGCCCUUGAUACUGAAGAUCUUGAGUUCGGGAGAGGUGAGUGGAACUGCGAGUGUAGAGGUGAAAUUCGUAGAUAUUCGCAAGAACACCAGUGGCGAAGGCGGCUCACUGGCCCGAUACUGACGCUGAGGCACGAAAGCGUGGGGAGCAAACAGG
rnacentral:rRNA from 1 species